UGUUUUGUCAUACCUCUGUCUUAAUGAUGUGUUUUACUUGUUUUACUAAGGGAAAUUAAGGGUGGCAAACUGAAGGAAUUUUUGAAAAUUUUCUUUCAACAUAUAUAGAUGUAGGGGCAUUAAAACAAGCUUAAGUUCAGGGAAAUUUGGGGUAAAGGUUUUACAAGUUUAAUAAAAAAAAAUCUUAUCCCCUGGCAUAUUUUAUAGUGGUAGGGACAAUGAAUAAAAACCUGUGUCUCGAAACGAGUGUCCCUGCCCGUUUCUUCGCAGAAUUCUCGUACAACGCGGACUGCGUAGUUGGGUACAACGUUUGGUGUUCGAUGAGUCUUGUUCAAAAGCUAAAUCUUUUAUUUGUUGUUUGGAGCGGCUCAAAAACCUUUUUUGGGGCGGAGAAUCUGUGCCUCCGGGCUCAGCUGACAUGUUGAGGCUGAUGAGGAU